rnacentral:rRNA from 1 species
UGGCGGGGGAGCACCACAAGGGGUGAAGCCUGCGGUUCAAUUGGAGUCAACGCCAGAAAUCUUACCCGGAGAGACAGCAGAAUGAAGGUCAGGCUGAAGACCUUACCAGACAAGCUGAGAGGUGGUGCAUGGCCGUCGUCAGCUCGUGCCGUGAGAUGUCCUGUUAAGUCAGGUAACGAGCGAGAUCCCUGCCACUAGUUGCUAUCAUUACUCUCAGGAGUAGUGGGGCGAAUUAGUGGGACCGCCACAGUUAAUGUGGAGGAAGGAAGGGGCCACGGCAGGUCAGUAUGCCCCGAAACUCUGGGGCCACACGCGGGCUGCAAUGGUAGUGACAAUGGGCUCCUAACUCGAAAGAGAGAGGCAAUCCACAAACACUACCACAGUUAUGACUGAGGGCUGUAACUCGCCCUCACGAAUAUGGAAUCCCUAGUAACUGCGUGUCAUUACCGCGCGGUGAAUACGUCCCUGCUCCUUGCACACACCGCCA